UUUUUUUUUUUUUUUUUUUUUUUUUUCCUUUUCUAGGGAUGCUCCUGUGGCAUAUGGAGGUUCCUAGGAGUCUAAUCAGAGCUGUAGCCACCGGCCUACGCCAGAGCCACAGCAACACCAGAUCUGAGCCACGUCUGCGACCUAUACCACAGCUCAUGACAAGGCCAGAUCCUUAACCCACUGAGCAAGGCCAGGGAUCGAACCCGCAACCGCAAGGUUCUUAGUCGGAUUCGUUAACCACUGCGCCACGAUGGGAACUCCAGGUCCCUAGAAUGUUGAGAGAAAUUAAUCCCUAUCACAGACAUACCCUACCAGGCUGCCUCCAUCUCCCUUACUGCCCUUCUUUUUUUUUCCCCCAAAUUUAAUAUCAUUUUAUUUUUAUCUCAAUACAAUAUCAAUGUGACUGAUAAUAAUUGAUUAAAUGUCAGUUGAUUAUUCCCUUAUUGCUCUUCUAACUCUGUUUCUUCUAACUCAGCUAAUGCUUCCACCACUCCAGGAAGCUUUUCUCAUCUUUUUAUAUGCCCAGGCCCAAGGGGUCAAACUAUGCCUCCAUGACAUGCUGCUAUUGCAUUUACCAAAUUAGUUUUACAAUCAAUAUUUGUGCCCAAUAAGAGUUUAAAACAAAGCAUGAGUAUGAUCUUUUAUUCCUUUUUAGACUGCCAUAAAAAAAUCUUGAAAAUUCUCAGUCAGUGUUUAAGAAGUGUUCAAGAAGUGUUCAUUUAUUUCUAUAAUUAAUAUUUAGUGAAUGCAUACUACGUGGAGAUAUAAGAAAGAGGAAAAUCUGACCCUGGCUGCCUUGCUUUUCUGUUCCUAAGUUAAUGCAAGGAUGAUGACUUAAGUGAAAGCCACAAAGCCAAUUCUCAGCCAAGGAAAAACCGAAUCAUUCCAAUAAUUACAAUCCUGUAGGAACCAUCCUGGGGAGAUAUUCCUCCACUUUAGUUUGAACAUAUUAGAUUUGCAUGGGGCUUUGACACCUAAAGUCAUUCAGACUUGUCUAUAGAACUGGUUUGUUCUUUUUAAUUAAGCAUAUACUUGUUUAUCGAACUGAGGACAACUGAGAAAGAGACUAUCGAAUAAAAUAUCAUCCUAAUAAAUAAUCAAAGGACAGUCACAAACUAACCAGUUGUUACUGACACUAGUUUCUAUAUGGAAGCACAUAGUAAGUAAAUAAACUUAGAUGCCAGGGCAGAAGCACCAUCUUAUGAAGCUAUUAGCAAUUUCUUCCCUUUCAUCCUUUAAUUUUUGUUGUAUUUAUAUUAUAAUGCUUGAACUACAGCCUCUGUAAUUAAGCUUCUUGGGUACUUAUCUCCUUUGGAAUACCUGCUAGUAGCUUAACAAUUUAGUAAACUCAAGUUCCAUUUGCUCAUCUGCAAACUAGAACUAAUAAUCGUAUCACCCCAUAGGGUUGUUGUGAAGACUGAAGAAAAUAAUAUCUACUUUAAGGAUUUGUCAUUCUGUUACGAUUUUUCAGCCCUGGAGUUGAAUUUGAAUACAGAGCUUAAAAGAGCAUAGUGGUAUGUUUCCCUUUUUACACACUUUUUAAUUUUAUUGAGGACUAUCAAAAGGCUGAUUUCUGACAUGUUCACAUGUAAAGAGCUUUCCAUUUGCUACAAACACAUUUUUUCCUGCCCAGAGCCCCUGUUAUUUUGUGGAAAAGCUACCUUGCUUUGUCAAUCAUGCAUUUCAAGUUGUGUUUGUCAAUCACAAAAACCUCUCUGUUGGCCAUAGUGAUUCGUCCAGGCGGUGAAACAGGUGACCUGAAGUAGACCAAUAAGUAUGUCUCCUUAGAAUCGUAACUGAGCAGGUGCUUCCCUGCAGGCAAAGCAGUGAGACCUGAUACCCUGGAACACUGUAUUCCCUGCUGUACAGAGUCAAUCUGAGUAAAUGAGGGCAACCUCAGAACCACAGAGAUGAUGGGCAGGAUAUUCUGAUAUCCUUUGGUCUCUGGUUCUUGACACUGCUGUGAUACAGCCGUGCCUUGCCUUUCAUCUGGUUACUUGACACUUCCAUGAAAUUCUCCUAGAAGUGUGUUUGAUUUCAGCCUGAAGUUCUAAUAUUUUUGACUAAUGUCCAUUAACACAGUAGAAAAUUGGUAUGAAUAUUGGCUGUUAUACAAGACUAGGUAGAUUCUGCUCUCCUGUUCUUCUUAUAAUAACAUUAUAAACAUGGCUACAUUUUAAAACACUCUGCAUAUAUUAUUUUUAAUGGCUGUGUAAUAUUCCAUCUUAUAGCUAUAUCAAACUUUAUUUCACCUUUCCCUUAUGAAGGAAAUUUAGAUAAUUUCCUUACAUAAUGACUCUAAAAUUAGAGGGUAUAAAACUCUUUAUGUUGCCAAUUAUUUUCAAAAAAGGAUUGUAGCUCUGGGAAUCUCAUUGGCGCUGUACAAAAAUGCUAUUUCAUUGCACCCUUGCUAGCAUUGAACAUUAACACUUUAAAAUAUUUUGAUAAUUUGUGUUGGUAGAGUUCAAAUUUUUCCCAUGUGUUUAUCCUUUUCCAGUUGUCUAUUUAGUUAACUUACAUCGUAUUAUAUAUUAAUCUUUUGUAACAGUCACAUUGAUUUUUUUUCCUACAGUUUGUUUGCUUUAGCAUUUGGUUACUUUUUAUAUAAAAAGCUUUAUAUUUUUAUAUUCUAAUGCUCUCAAAUAUAUUUCUCUUUUCCCUCUCAAAUAUAUUUCUCUUUUCCUCUACAUUUUUCCAUUACUGUUAAGCUUAUAAUAUCUUCCUCUGCUAGAGACCAGAUAAAUACUCAUAUUUUUUCCUCUCUCAAAAUAAAUAUUUUAAAAACUUUCACCAAGUCAUAAAUCCAGUUCAUUUUCUCCAAAAUGUCUUGUUAGCUGUCUGAAGACUGUUUAUUAAUUUAUUCUUCCAUUCAAUGAUCUGUAAUAAGAUCUAAUCACACAGUAUAUCAAAUAUUCUAUGUAUAUAAAAGUUGUGUUAUAGCUCUAUACCAACCAUUUGUGAAUCAUCCUUCUCUUCAAGUUCUAUAAGAUUUUAAUUGUUAUAUUUUUAUAUAAUUUGG
rnacentral:lncRNA from 1 species